AGGGAAUCUUCCACAAUGGACGCAAGUCUGAUGGAGCAACGCCGCGUGAAUGAAGAAGGUCUUCGGAUCGUAAAGCUCUGUUGUUGGUGAAGAAGGAUAGAGGCAGUAACUGGUCUUUAUUUGACGGUAAUCAACCAGAAAGUCACGGCUAACUACGUGCCAGCAGCCGCGGUAAUACGUAGGUGGCAAGCGUUGUCCGGAUUUAUUGGGCGUAAAGCGAGCGCAGGCGGAAUGAUAAGUCUGAUGUGAAAGCCCACGGCUCAACCGUGGAACUGCAUCGGAAACUGUCAUUCUUGAGUGCAGAAGAGGAGAGUGGAACUCCAUGUGUAGCGGUGGAAUGCGUAGAUAUAUGGAAGAACACCAGUGGCGAAGGCGGCUCUCUGGUCUGCAACUGACGCUGAGGCUCGAAAGCAUGGGUAGCGAACAGGAUUAGAUACCCUGGUAGUCCAUGCCGUAAACGAUGAGCGCUAGGUGUUGGGGACUUUCCGGUCCUCAGUGCCGCAGCAAACGCAUUAAGCGCUCCGCCUGGGGAGUACGACCGC
rnacentral:rRNA from 1 species